rnacentral:sRNA from 2 species
UGUAUCUGAAGUCUGACGAGGAUGAGAACCUCCGGGGGCAAGAGGUUCGACUCGAGCGAAGCGAGAGAACGUUGCGUCAGCAACGGCCCGCAGGGCGAGCCAC